rnacentral:rRNA from 1 species
CCUACGGGUGGCAGCAGUGGGGAAUAUUGCGCAAUGGGCGAAAGCCUGACGCAGCGACGCCGCGUGAGGGAUGAAGGUCUUCGGAUCGUAAAACUCUGUCAGCAGGGAAGAACGGUCACUGUGUUAUCCAGCAGUGAAUUGACGGUACCUGCAAAGGAAGCACCGGCUAACUCCGUGCCAGCAGCCGCGGUAAUACGGAGGGUGCGAGCGUUAAUCGGAAUUACUGGGCGUAAAGCGCUCGUAGGCGGUAUGUCAAGUCAAUGGUGAAAUCCCCGCGCUCAACGUGGGAACUGCCUUUGAUACUGGCAAGCUGGAGUGUGUGAGAGGAUAGUGGAAUUCCAGGUGUAGGAGUGAAAUCCGUAGAUAUCUGGAGGAACAACAGUGGCGAAGGCGACUAUCUGGCACAUAACUGACGCUGAGGAGCGAAAGCGUGGGUAGCAAACAGGAUUAGAUACCCUAGUAGUC